UACGGGGGGGGCAAGCGUUGUUCGGAAUUACUGGGCGUAAAGGGCUCGUAGGCGGCCAACUAAGUCGGAUGUGAAAUCCCCGGGCUCAACUUGGGAACUGCAUCCGAUACUGGAUGGCUUGAAUUCGGGAGAGGGAUGCAGAAUUCCAGGUGUAGCGGUGAAAUGCGUAGAUAUCUGGAGGAAUACCGGUGGCGAAGGCGGCAUCCUGGACCGACAUUGACGCUGAGACGCGAAAGCGUGGGGAGCAAACAGG
rnacentral:rRNA from 1 species